ensembl:lncRNA
UCAAUCCGCACAUCACACAUGGGUACUGUGAUCGUGGAUGCUAAUACAUCGGAUUUAAUGCAGAUUUAUGGCACGUUUAUUUUUGGUUUGAGGCUUAAUGUAAUGUGUGCGAGCAUCGGGGGGCCGAACAAAGGCACUUUGAUGGAUUCAUACACGACUAAUAAGACAAAGAUAGCAAAACAAGCUAGCAGCACCGGCUAACUGGAAAGUUAAUAGUGACUCAAUAUGGACUUAACAUUGUAAUAUUUCAAAUGCCGGUCAACCCCGUCUGUUUUGUUGUAUUCAUCAACCAUCGUCUUUAACAAAUAGUUAUGUGUUGUCCCUCUAUAUACUUCAGACACCAUUGAUACUGUAUCUCCAGUGAAAGUUAUCAAUAAUGGAGACAGCAGCUCUGGUAGCUCCAUUCACAGCUCUGGAGUUCCUUCAGGAUGCUUUCCUGCUGACAGGUGAGGGUAAAUACCAACUUUCCACCACUUUUCCCACUCGGCGUCGCUCCGAUCUGCACAUCGCGGAGAAAACCAAUUGGGUGUCUGGAUGCUAAAUGUUUAUAUUCUCAUCUAAACACAAUCACAUUCACUGUCCGCAUAGCGCCAUUGAUCUGGAUAGGGUUUUCUUGUGUUUGUUUUUGAGCUGCGACAAGCCGGAAGUAACGAGGCUGUUUUUAAAAUGUAAGGAGUAGAAUGUACAGAAAUUGUCAAUUUCCUUGUUUAUUCUUGAGACUAUCUUUUUUUCUUUUCUUUCAUUCAAAUGAAGCACAUGACUUGGACAUGCUCCAUUGAAGACCAACACAUCAUGUGUAGAGCACUAAAGUGAAUAUGAUGUCCCUCCAAAUCAAUAAAAACAAACACAAACAGUGGAAGAAUCACCUCAUGUCAUUAUAGAAAACAGAAGGUGUGACAUGCCCACCAUACAUGUAGUGACUUGAGUAGUUACACGUGAGUAAAUGCAGCCGCCUAGUGGAGCGGCCACACGAGGCUCGGUUCACUUCAUGGAGAGAACCCGCUGUUGUUGGUCGCAGCUGAAUUCCUCCUGGAAGAGCCUUCGGACAUUAUUCGUCUGUGAGUGCAUGUUUUGUGUUGUUGUAAAGAUUUAGACAAUUUCGAAAGUAUGUUGAAUUUAUGUCACUGAAUUCUCCGCUGGAAAAUAGCAGCUAAACUAUGCUAGCUCUCUGUGUCAUGUUAUCCUGGUGCCACGUUGUUUUACGUGGUAUUUAUGUACCCUUUGUUUUGUCUGUUCCAGUUUGACAAUGAUCAAUCCGGCAUGAAUAAAUGCAGAGGAUGAAAACAUUAC